rnacentral:tRNA from 1 species
GCUGGCAUGGUGGAAUCGGCAGACACAAGGGACUUAAAAUCCCUCGGCAGAAAUGUCAUACGGGUUCAAAUCCCGUCGCCAGCACCA